AAUGGGCGAUAGCCUGAACCAGCCAUGCCGCGUGCAGGAAGAAGGCCUUAUGGGUUGUAAACUGCUUUUGUCAGGGAAUAAAGUUAGGUACGUGUACCUAAUUGCAGGUACCUGGUGAAUAAGCAUCGGCUAACUCCGUGCCAGCAGCCGCGGUAAUACGGAGGAUGCAAGCGUUAUCCGGAUUCAUUGGGUUUAAAGGGUGCGCAGGCUGAUAAGCAAGUCAGUGGUGAAAAGCAGCAGCUUAACUGUUGAGGUGCCAUUGAAACUGUUAAUCUAGAGUUUAAUUGGGGUAAGCGGAAUAUGUCAUGUAGCGGUGAAAUGCAUAGAUAUGACAUAGAACACCGAUCGCGAAGGCAGCUUACCAAGUUAAAACAGACGCUCAUGCACGAAAGCGUGGGGAUCAAA
rnacentral:rRNA from 1 species